GUGUGCCAGAGGAGUGCUGGAGCUCCCAGCUUCCCUUUCUAGAUGAAAUUGCUGAUGCUGUAGGGAUCUUUUCAGCAAAGACCUUGGCAAAAUAAAUAGAGUUAAGGAAAGAUCCAAGGCAAGAUUUGAACUCAAGAUUUUCCUGAUUCCAAUUCCAAUCCUCUGUUUUACCUACCUGCAGGUAUCCACGGGAGAGGGUUAAAAGAGGACACCAAGGGUUAUUUGGAAAUGCAUAGGAUUUAACCAUGUCAGAGAUUCAAAUCUCUGUAAAAUUCUAGAACACUGAACUUAGACUUCAUGAACUGAAGGGAUGGCUGCUAUUAGACAGAAAUAGGAAAACAAGUUAUUACCAGGCCACUCUGGGAAGGCCUUCUGCUCCAUGAGAUCUUCCAGAAGGUACAUCUGACUUUGCAGAACUCAGGAUCACUUUCACACCACAAGGAGAUUCUGAGGUUUUAGAAAUGCAAUUGUGAUAUUAUUGUAAGAGACUUUAUCAGCUGUCCUAAUGAAAUUCAAGUAUUUCCCUAAUAUGCUCAUUUAGUAACCAUGAUUAAAAAAGAGAAAAAGAAGAAAAAAAAAGAAUUUCCAUGGUGUGCUAAAGCUCUUUUAUUACUUUUCCUUUUUUCCUUCUCAUCAGAAUCAUUUUUGUUUGCCUUGUCAUAAUUUUAUUUUUCUAUCCUUCUGGAGUACACCUGUAUCCUAUUGCUUUUUGUCUUUCUUGUACACACCUCCCUUCCUCCCAAUCCCUUUCCCUUUCUUCUACUAGAUUCCUUUUUUUCUCUGGAUUCCUUGAAAUUUUUUGCCCUGAAUUCUUAGAUAUACAUCAGCCUCUACUAUUGUAACUAUCCCUUUCUUUUUCAAUUACAAAGUUUAAAAAGGCUGACCAUUGUCUUCUCAGAUUUCUGUCAUUUCCAUUUUACCAAACAAUUUCUCCUUAUUAAUUAGAAUUGGGUCCAGAUUUUCUGUUCUCC